GACUUUCUGUAUCCAAGUGAAGGUAUUCAUAGGAGGUGGGAUUCUGGCUACCGCAUCACAUCAACUGCAGCAACAUGGGAUCAAACUGCCCUUGUUCUCAGCAAUCCACGCGAAACCUUCAGAUGAAACACAAGAGACACUUCGGACUUCUGCUUUCCCAAGCACACAUGUUAAGGAGAAAUGGGCAAAAAAUCUUUACAUAGCAUCGGUGUGCUAUGGGAGAACUGUAUCUUGAUGUCUCGUAAUUUUGUUGGAGGAGGUUACUGGACGAUGAAAGUCCUCUCUGAUCAAACUCAGUUGUUAUUUCCGUAAUCAGAGGAAGGGAGAUCUUUGGUCUGUGGUCAAGCUGACUCGUGUUGCUCUAAGGACCUGAUUUGUGCUUACUAUUGCCAUUGACAUAUAGGAGCCUGUGUAAAACCUCUGCACCGGGCUGUGAUUAUGUCUAAAUGCUUUAGGAAAGUGUUAGAACUCCGACAAGUGUAAUUCGAUCAUUCCUUAAUGUUGUAUAGUGAUGGAAAUUUAAUGUUUGAUGACAGUAUCCAGCAGCUGUGUCUGUAUUAGCAGUGCUUGUAUAUGUAACAGGUUUUGCAACCCAAGGAUAUGUUCUAUUAAAUGUACUUGUUUCUCUCCUCA